CACUCCUGCGGGAGGCAGCAGUGGGGAAUAUUGGACAAUGGGCGCAAGCCUGAUCCAGCCAUGCCGCGUGAGUGAUGAAGGCCCUAGGGUUGUAAAGCUCUUUCACCGGAGAAGAUAAUGACGGUAUCCGGAGAAGAAGCCCCGGCUAACUUCGUGCCAGCAGCCGCGGUAAUACGAAGGGGGCUAGCGUUGUUCGGAAUUACUGGGCGUAAAGCGCACGUAGGCGGAUCGAUCAGUCAGGGGUGAAAUCCCAGGGCUCAACCCUGGAACUGCCUUUGAUACUGUCGAUCUGGAGUAUGGAAGAGGUGAGUGGAAUUCCGAGUGUAGAGGUGAAAUUCGUAGAUAUUCGGAGGAACACCAGUGGCGAAGGCGGCUCACUGGUCCAUUACUGACGCUGAGGUGCGAAAGCGUGGGGAGCAAACAGGAUUAGAAACCCGGGUAGUCCCAUG
rnacentral:rRNA from 1 species